UUGACCUCAAAUCAGGUAGGACCACCCGCUGAACUUAAGCAUAUCAAUAAGCGGAGGAAAAGAAACUAACCAGGAUUCCCUUAGUAACUGCGAGUGAACCGGGAAGAGCUCAAAUUUGUAAUCUGGCGGUCAUUCGAUCGUCCGAGUUGUAAUCUAGAGAAGUGUUACCUGCUCUGGACCGUGUACAAGUCUCCUGGAAUGGAGCAUCACAGAGGGUGAGAAUCCCGUCUUUGACAUGGACUGCCAGAGCUUAAUAGGUGUGCUCUCGAAGAGUCGAGUUGUUUGGGAAUGCAGCUCAAAAUGGGUGGUAAAUGCCAUCUAAAGCUAAAUAUUGGCGAGAGACCGAUAGCGAACAAGUACCGUGAGGGAAAGAUGAAAAGAACUUUGGAAAGAGAGUUAAACAGUACGUGAAAUUGCU
rnacentral:rRNA from 1 species